rnacentral:misc_RNA from 1 species
AUGGAUCAUGUAACACUCUGUUGCUGCUGCUGCUGUGUGUCGCUGCUGGCCGAGUGUGUGGCUCUUUGCAAAAGGAGCCCACCUCGUGUCCAUUGGCGUCGCACACAUGCACGCAUGCAUACACACACACCCACUCGCACGUGGUUUGAUCGUUCAUGGGCAGCGGUUAGUGGCCUCACAGCGACUGCUGCUGCCCAUCUGUUCAUUCUUAUCAACCCCUGUUUUCCAUUGUAACUAAACCUCAUGGUCGAUUCGCUUAUGCGAACCGAUACGAAAAACAACCAAAACAACUUUCAACAACGGAUGUCUUGGUUCCC